rnacentral:sRNA from 2 species
UUGCAUUUGAAGCCCAUGAGGAUGAGAACCUCCGGGGGCGGGGAGGUUCGACUCGAGCGAAGCGAGAGAACGUUGCGCCAGCAACGGCCCGCAGGGCGAGC